rnacentral:lncRNA from 1 species
GUAAGAUAACAGUCCUAACUACCCUAUACAGUAAGAUAACAGUCCUAACUACCCUAUACAGGUAUUAUAACAGUCCUAACUACCCUAUACAGGUAAUAUAACAGUCCUAACUACCCUAUACAGGUAAGAUAACAGUCCUAACUACCCUAUACAGGUAAGAUAACAGUCCUAACUACCCUAUACAGAUAAUAUAACAGUCCUAACUACCCUAUACAGUAAGAUAACAGUCCUAACUACCCUAUAGAGGUAAGAUAACAGUCCUAACUAC